AUGAGAGUCAUGCUGCUCUCUCAAACCUACAUAGCUACAAGUAGUGGGUAUGUGCCUUGCACACGCCACUUAACCUCUCCCAGCCUUGGAGGUUUCUUCCGCCUAAAGUAGGAAAUCUUUUCUUGGCACUAAAAGAAAGACACAAUGGCUGGGCACGGUGGCUCAUGCCUGUAAUCCCAGCACUUUGGGAGGCCAAGGCAGGUGGAUCACGAAGUCAGGAGUUCAAGACCAGCGAGACUCCGUCUCAAAGAAAAAAAAAAAAGGAAAAUACAAUUUAUUACCAAGACUAUGAGGACAACACCUUGUGGCCAGGAAAGGUGCAAUCCAUCAUUGUUUUCUAGUUGAUUGUUAAGAUUUCUGUGAUGAAUACAACUCAACAUCAGAUCUCUGCCAUAUUGUGUGUCAGGCACACAGGGCAAGAAAUUGAAGCUUCCAGCCAACAGCCAGAGA